CCUACGGGUGGCAGCAGUGGGGAAUAUUGGACAAUGGGGGGAACCCUGAUCCAGCCAUGCCGCGUGUGUGAAGAAGGCCUUAUGGUUGUAAAGCACUUUAAGCGAGGAGGAGGCUACUGAGACUAAUACUCUUGGAUAGUGGACGUUACUCGCAGAAUCAGCACCGGCUAACUCUGUGCCAGCAGCCGCGGUAAUACAGAGGGUGCGAGCGUUAAUCGGAUUUACUGGGCGUCAAGCGUGCGUAGGCGGCUUUUGUAGUCGGAUGUGAAAUCCCCGAGCUGAACUUAGUAAUUGCAUUCGAUACUGGGAAGCUGGAGUAUGGGAGAGGAUGGUAGAAUUCCAGGUGUAGCGGUGAAAUGCGUAGAGAUCUGGAGGAAUACCGAUGGCGAAGGCAGCCAUCUGGCCUAAUACUGACGCUGAGGUACGAAAGCAUGGGGAGCAAACAGGAUUAGAUACCCCGGUAGUCCG
rnacentral:rRNA from 1 species